UGGAGUAAGAGAGCAAUCUGACACUCCUCCUUCCUUAAGGCAGAUAAGCUGCUCCUUUUAAAAUAACUGAUUUUCCCAGGCCUAGUAUCAACUUGCACCAGAUUCCCCUUCUCCAAAGAUGAAGGGAAAUGAUGAAGAUUAAGACAAAAAGACAAGGAAAAGGAAAAGUGGCACUAAGAAGAAGAGAGGGAAUGACAAAGGAAGACUGCCAAAAUGAAGGAAGGAAAAGGAACAUGCUGAAACACCUUAUCCGUCACAAAUACCUACUUUUAGCUAUUUGUUCCUGCAGACUUUGUUCAGAAGCCUCACAGCCUGCUAAAUGAGAAUUAACGCUCCGGUUUAAAGCUGUGCGUUUGGGUGGGGAUGGCUCAACACAAAGUCAGCACAUCAGGUUUUUUUUCCCUAAACAAGGUCAGCUGAAAUUAUUAUAGUGAAACAGUUGUGCAUCAGAAGUCAAAAGAAUUUUUUCUUGAUAAAAAAACCUAAUUGCCAAUUAACUACUACUAUGUCUUUAAUAUCUAGAUUUACAAUGAUGCCUACUUUUCCUGUAGUAAAAAGCUAAAUAAAUGGCAUUUCAAGGAAACUCA